rnacentral:tRNA from 2 species
GGCCGCGUAGCUCAAUGGUAGAGCGUCUGACUACUUGUCAGAAGGUAGCGGGUUCGAUUCCUGCCGCGGCUA